UCUUUUCCCGCCUUUAUUUCAGCCACAUUCUCCCUGAGCAGAUGCCACACUCAGCUCCUAAGCAGAAGCGGGGGCUCAGAAGCAGCACCCAGCACCCAAGAGAAGGCCUGAAGCAGUGCUCAGCACCCAGGAGGCACUGUGUGCCCAUUGAGUGCAACAAGCAGUCGCCACCAGGACCAGCACCCCUGCCACCACCAAGCGUCCUCUGUCCAUCGCCCAUCUCCGCAUCACGGGCUGGGACACGCUGCUUUUUUGGCAAGCCGCUGUUCAGAAGACGCUGUUCCUGAAUUCAGGGAAGCAAAAAAUAAAAAUAAAAAGAUCUGAGAACAACCGCUGUGACUUCUUAGCUCUGAUGAAGUGCAUUCGCCUUGACAGUGACAUAAAAUGUAACUUCAGGAAGCUUUUUUUGUUCUUCGUGCUUUUAUCUCAUUAAGGGUUGGAUGAGGUUUCCAAUUUCACAUCAUUAAAUUCAAGGUCUGAUCCAUCCAGUGGUGAGAAAGUCAUAACUUCUUUUAAAAGAAGUAUUUGUGUUCUCGAAAUAGUAUUGGCUUUAAUCUCCAUAUCAAAAUGAAAGGUCUGGGCUUGGAUGAGAAAUAGCGCUUGCUUUGGGGACAUUCUGAGCCAACCCUCAGGGGCAUUUAGUGGGAGGCUCCAGCGCUCCAUCUUCUGACUUGCAGGUUAAAAUCUCCCACUCCUGGACCAUCUGAUCAAAGGCACAGUUGCCAAGUCUUAAAGGUUCGUGGAAACACCUCUUUGCCCCUUUUAGCAACAGGCCCAUGGGUCUGGGGACAGGGCCAAGAGGUCGUUCCUCGGUUUCUGAGACCAUCUUGCCCCUUCGCUGGUGGGCGAUGCCCCAGAGGCGGCUGUGUGAGUGGUUAACACCAGACAAGCUGAGACCUGUUCUGGCUGGGACGCGGCCAUGCCUUCCACGAGGCUUUCUGUACCGACACCGCAGCCAGCUGCCCCAGAGGAGCUGCUUCCCGGCCGCUCUGACACUCCGAGCCUGCUGAACGCAGCCUUCCGGCCAGGCUGCACUUCUCCGGGCCCUGCCUCGUUCACAGGGCAUCCUUGGCUGGCUUUCUCCUUUGGCGGCUGGGAAGGUUCUGAGGCUCUUCUGGCCUUGCGGCUGUGAGAUUCCUACUUUCUUCCUGGGUGGGAAGAGCAGGCGGCCCUGAAGAGCCUGUCCAAGGGGUGCUGGGCUCCACCUGGGCAGGAAGGCGGUCCUGUGCCCAGAGACCAGGGAAGCCUGGGAGUGUGUCGUCCUAGAUGGGGGGGUGGGGAGACAACACCCGAAGAGCCUCCGGGGCUCCCUUUCUAGAAAGGGAAGCUGAGUCAGAGAGGGAAGGUGACUGCAAGUUAGUGACAGAGCAAGGAUCAGACGGGGGGUUUCCAGCUCCUGUCCCUCCACACUGGCCACAGCACAGGGGGGCCAGGUCCUUUUCCUCCCCCCAGCCCUCCCCCCACCUCGCAGGAGGAGCUCCCAGGAUUCUACUGCUUGGUGGCUGCCCCAGCAGACACCCCCCCAGGC
rnacentral:lncRNA from 1 species